GAUCAAUGUGUAAAUGGUGGAAAAACAGUGAUGUAAGGAUCUCAGCAACAGAAAAUGCACCUCCGAUAUGUCCCGUUUGACCAGAAUAAACCAUACGUAAAACUUGAAUUCGAUACUCCUGUGCUUUCUUAGAGAUGUCGUAAAUAAGUUCUUCUGGGUGAAAAUGCAUGAUUUUUCCUCUUUCUUGAGAAAUUUCGCGACUCAAGAAUGAAUGUAAGGUAUGG
rnacentral:rRNA from 1 species